GAAAAAACCAAUAAGACAAGGAACAAAAAUUGAAAUUCAAACUUCAAAACUUUCACCAUUUUAGGCAAGAUACCUUUUUCUGAAGGUUCGGACCAUUCCAAAACGGGAAAGUAGGAACAAAAGUUUGAGAUUCGAUCUUAACGUCCUUGGGCGCGACAUGAAGAAAUAUUAUGCUACGAAGGACGAUUCGCGUGACCUGCUGUUGCUUUUUCUACUGCGAUGGUACGAGCUGAGGGAGACUUUGAAGAAGGAGAUAAAAGCGACGCAGAGUGCGUACGCGCCUUGCUGAGCUGUGAACGUUUUCCAUUAACUAGCUCUCGCGUUAGGUGCGUCUAGGCGUCGUCUCGCCGUCACACGCAAUGUCGUUUGAUCUGCUUCACAUCGUGUACUUGCUAUAGUUGUUGAUGUUCUGGGUUUCUUUGUGG
rnacentral:misc_RNA from 1 species